AACUUUCAACAACGGAUCUCUUGGUUCUCGCAUCGAUGAAGAACGCAGCGAAAUGCGAUAAGUAGUGUGAAUUGCAGAAUUCAGUGAAUCAUCGAAUCUUUGAACGCACAUUGCGCCUCCUGGUAUUCCGGGAGGCAUGCCUGUUCGAGCGUCAUG
rnacentral:rRNA from 1 species